UUCCUCAUGUGUUCUGCUACCCUCUGUCUGUUGCACAGAAAGAGCAGGGAAACACGUUUUCCUAUUCCACUUGUAUUUCAGUGCGCAGCUUUUGCAUCACUAGAAGCAGCAGCCAGAUAAUUACCUUGUCUGCUGCAUAUCAGGGAAAAACAUUAUGGACUUGGGCAUCACACCCAAGUGGAACUGGAGUCACUUGGUGUCCAUGCCACUGUUGGUUGAAGAAAGGAACUUGUUGAGGUGUAGAUGGGUACAUUGCUAAGCCUGGGGCUGUUACAGAAAGCUCUCAUGCUGUAAGCAAAUUUUGGAUGCAGUAAGUUUUUCAGUCCAGAAUUCAUAGCGUGAUUUGAAAUUGUGUGUGAUAAUAUUUUAAUAGAGAAACUGCAGUCUUCUGACUCUUGUGAUCUGCAGACAGGAGCAUUCUUUUUUGCCUGAUAUUGCUGUAUAAAAAAAAAACAAACCCUCACUGAUGAUUUACAGUGACUGCUUGAUUCAUUAAUUUUUUUUGUUAUGUCUUGCUUACAUUAUUACAUUCUUAAUAUAAUUUUAAUAAAAUUGUCAUUGUGGCUCUCAUGUAACAUUUACUAGAAGGCUUUUUCCCACUGUUGUAUAGAUUUUUUUUAGUGAGAAAUCUGCACUAGCUUUGCAACAAUAUAUUUAGAAAUGCAGUUUUACACAGAGGCAUUUGGGGAUGGAACAUACAAUCAAAUUUUAGCAUCUAAGCAUCUAAUUGGAGUGCUCAGAAAUACAUUUCACUUACCACUUGCACAUUCAGACCUUCUACAUUUUGAGUUUUGCCCAAAACCUGCAACAUAAAAGCCUUCCACAAGAAGAAGAGAACCACAAAUGUAUUAUAGGGUGAAUACACAGGGAGAUGUUCUACAUGGUUUAAAUGAGAAAGCUUCAAAACUUGUGUAGCUGUGUCUUCCAUGAAAGAGUGGAAUUGCUUCUAUUCCAAAGAGCUCUGAUUUUCAUUGGAAGAUUUGUAAUAUUCCAUGAUGCUGUGGGAAACAAAGAUUUUCUUCUUUUGUGUCACUAUACCCAUUAAAUCCUAACCAGAGCAGUGUUCUGGGUAGGAAAUAAACUGUUGCAUUUGGAGUUCCUUUGCACUAAAACAGAUGUUUCUUCUUGGGAGCUUUUUAUUUGUAAGGACAGUGUUCUGAACCUAUUAUUAGGAUCUAGAUCCAGUUGGCAGAUGGUUAUAUGAGGUUUCAUUUUGAAAACAAUAUUGUAGAAGUUAAGUGUCACAUUUCUGGAGUAUGAGUGCACACAUACUUGUAUAUAGACACACACAUGCACGUGCAUACUUUUUGUUUGUACAUAAAACCUGUUGUUUCUCCUGGUUAGCUCUUAAUUGUGCAAAAGUGACCUGGCUAAAGUAGAAAUGAACUGUUCCCUUGUAUUAAUAUAGGAAAUAUUAAUAGAGGAAUAUAUUAAUAUAGAAAAAAAGAGAAAACUUGAUGGAAGUUUUUGUGUGAUACUUUAAUUCAUUAAGAAGGUCUGUUGAGGAUAUCUAGAAGGAACAUACUCCAGCUUCUGAGUUACAAAUAGAAUUCUUGUCAUGAUUUUUUGUUUAAGGGCAGAAUGGAUGAAGAAAAGUGUAGUUUGAAUCCUUAAGUUACCCAAAUGGAAUUUGAAUGCACUGAGUGAGCACUUCUUGUUAAAAGAUGUCAGUAAAAAGGUGAUCUCUUUCAAGAUGAGAGGCAUACUUAAUAUAUUGUGCAUCUUUUUCCAAACCAACCCAAAGAAGCCAAACUCACAUAGAUGGAAGAUAAUCACAACAAUCUGUAAUGAUUUUCAGGAAGAGGUUUUGGGAAUAACAAGCAUGUCUAAAUCUAAAGCCAGCAGUGGUUGUUGAUUUCCAGCAUCAUGUAUAGUAAAGAGUCUAAGGUUUGGCAAGACUACCCCUGAAUUCUUUUAUGGGAGCUGGCUUCUAGAGGAUUCUCCCCUAAAAUGUUCUUCUGUGCGAGUAAAUAAAUGCUUAGCUGUACUCAUAGUAAAUGCCAUACAACAUGGUGUGCUGCCCAGAGACCAGGCACAUGUCUUGUUUAGCACUAAACUUACUCUCUUCUAAUUCUUCUGAUGUUGUAGAUGCACAAUAGCCAGUGAUUGAAUACAGAUUCCUUAGUACUAUUAAUCUUGUAAAUGUAAUUAUGAAAAAUGGAAAAAUAGUGCAAAAUGGUGAGAUCCAUGCCCCAACUUCCUCUGAAGAUGCUAAUUAAAGGGAUGGCAGAAUUAUAAAGGCAAACAAAAUCAGUCCAGGAAAAUAAUGCUGCCAGUAGCUGUUCCUGUGUUAGAAUUCUAGACAGUCUCUGGAGAUCAUAGAGAAAAAAAAAUCUGCUACGAUUGCAAAAAGAACAGUAACUGAAUAAAACCAAGUGAAUGCCACUUGGUUGGAAGUGAAUUUUCUUUCUCAGCUUAUUUUGUACCCAAGUCAAAAUUCUAAAUUUCACCUUUAUGUCUCUGUGUAUGGAAGAGCAUGUCACGUUAAUCUAUUUUGGCAGAUACAUAAAAUUUAUUCACAAUCUUUGUUCAACAUGUAAAAUUUAAUUAGAUCUUGUAAUAUUUGUACUUGUUAUGAAUUCCAUUAUGCAGAACAUUCACUAAACUGUGUACCUAUAGGAUUUAAUUAUGUCAGCUAUUAUUUAAUUGUGGAAUAGGAAAGGAACACAUAAAAAUUUCCUACAUGUUAUCAUGGAGACCAGUGGUGAUGAAGUCGCAAAUUUUACCCCUGCAAAGUCUUUGCAUUAUGUUGGCAUGUAAUGGAGUCUACAAUUCCUGACAAUGUUAAAAAUACUAUUUCCUAAGACCUUACAAUUCCACAGCUGCAGGAGUUUUGUGAAUGAAGGACACCUAAGAGAAGUGAAGGCAUCUAAUGCACUCAUGCGUCCUGCACAUGCUAAGAUUACUUGGUGUAACUAUCCCAGUUGUAACCUGAAUCCCUAUCUGGACAGCAAAUCAUUCACUCCUUUGAUGAGGAAAAAAACCCCAAAACUCUGUGGCUGAAGAUGAAAGAGAGAAGACAAACAUGUAGGCCGGGGAAUAGGAAUAAAUCAAAGUGACCAUGUCUAUCAGAUUCCUCCAUUUUCUUGGAUACCUCUGUGACUGUGACUUCAUGGCAGCUCUCAGACACCAUGACUGGAAGCAGCUCUCUUAGUCAACUCUUCUGGCUUGCCAGGAAAAUCAAUGAACAGUUUCCUCCCAGCAGAGGUGGAUAAGCUGCCUCCAUUGGUUGCCAGUGCAUUCAGGCUUAGCUCGUGAGGCUGUUCCAUGCAUUGAGUUUAGGAGUGGAACCACCGGUGUGAACAGAAAUGUAAAUGCAACUCCUCCAGCAGGUUCAGAAGACACCCCUUGCUAACAGGAUAGAACAGUUGCUGAGUUUCUGCUUUCCUGGCAUCAGCAGCAACUGAGAACAGAGCUUAGCACAUCUUCUGGCCUCCUUCUCUGGGACACAGAAUGAAUGGUGUGAGAGCACAGAGGACAUCCACCAGUGAGCAUCCAGGUGUUUCCAGAGGGAGGUAGUGAGAACCCAACAAUGUGAGAUUGCACACACCCACAAAACCCAGUAUUGAACCUGAGCAUGGUCUCUACAUGAUGGUAAGUAUAUUUUAAUUCUGUUUUAAAAUCUAUCCUUUAUAGAGGCUUCUUAUUUUGAAAAUAUGCCUGGCCUUACAAUUGAAAAGUAGUGCUGGGGUGAUGCAUAAUAGACACACAAAUGUUGAAGUGAGUGUUCAGUAACAGGAUUACAGAAAUAGAGGUAGAGCUGAUAUAGAUGUUAUAAGAAAAGAACACCAACAUUUAUAGAUCUCACCACAGAGUAUGUUAGAAGACCUGAACCCUCUUCAUUUGGAACAUUCAUGCUGUCAAUGGAAAUUAAUAAAACUAACCCAUUAAAAACACAAUUACUAAAUUCACUGAUUAAACCAUAUCAACCAUAAUAUUGUAGUGGGUCUGCCUUAUCAAAUUGUUACAGAUUCCUGCACAGGCGCUAGCUAUUUGAUAUCUUUGAACUUACAGAAAUGGCUGUCAUUGUUUCCUGCUGACUGUAGGCCCUUGCUCUAUGCUCAUGACUUAACUAAAACUUAAGGGCAGAAAUGUCUAAGUGUCACACCCCAACUCAGUAUUUUCCUUUUUCAGCUGUGAGAAGUAGGUGUGUGGAGGAGUUAGGUCACUUGGCCAAAAUCUGAGAGGUCUCAAUAGCAUUACUAGGAAUGGAAAUGAGAUCUUCUGCUUCUACUUUUUAUAGGUUUCCGUGUGGCUGUUUUAGAUGAGCUUGAGUGAUGUCUUCGCUGUCUUUAUAGCAGUGGAAUGUGCUGAGAGAACAGCCAAGGCAACUUUAUCCCACAGCAGCUCUUAGCUUUGGUGCACCUGUGUUAAGCCCAUAUAAAACUGAAAAGAAUAAAACCUAAAUUUUGAGUGCUUGAUCUGAGACAUGUCAGUACUUUGUUGUCUUUAUGAGUCUCAAAGUGUCCCAACUUGUGCACCCGAAGGGAUAACUGAAAAGAGCAGGGGAAAUGGUGCAGAAUGAAGUCCUAUCACCUGCAGCUAGAGCAUUUACAGGCCAAAUUUCAUGACUGCUUUUUCACAUUCAAUGAAUUGUAGCAUUGGUGAAUAGGAUAACAAAAGAUAAUUUCAAGAUGCUAAGCUAGGAAAACUCUAGUGAGGCAUGGACUUGAAAGCAAUGGUAUUUAUCAGCAUUAAAUAUUAAGGUUUAUUAAAACCAAUUUUUUAUGCUAAUCAGAAUUAAGUAGUAGAUCUGCUAUAUUUACUUAUGUGUGACAAGCUGUAGUUGAGCUAAAGACCCUUGAACACUGUACAAAAGAAUAAUUGAUAUUCUUGUUUAAAGAAAAAUAGUCCAAAGCUGAACUAUUUGGGAGUCUAACCCCCGUUUUGAAAAUGAGUUGAAAAGGUUGCCCCCCAGCCUUAUCCCCUGCAGGUUGGGACAGGAGAGGAAAACAGGAAGUUUUAUUCAUCUUAGUUUCUCGGUUUUCCAAGUUAUAGUCUCCAGCUGUUUCCAUCAACUUUGUUUUCUGAAAAAGAAACAAAACAAAACCAAACCAAAAAAAUCCCCACCAAAAAGACAGAGAGAGAGAGAGAGAGACAGAGAGAGAAAAGACUUCUAUGGAUUUCUUUAGCUAUCUUUAAGUGACUCUUUGUUGAAACCUGCAUUGCAUUUUUCAACAAUUCCAGAGUAGUUUUCUUUCUUCUUCUCCCAAAACAAACAUCUCUUACCCAGCUUCUCCUCAGCCUGAAAAAAAAAAAAGAGAUAAAAGCAAAAUAAAAGCAGCAGGCUAGGGAUGAAGGGAGAGGAAUGGUGUCUGCAUUGAAACAUGGCCACACAAAUUCAGAUAUUGAGUCUGUUGCUGUGACAAGUGAAAGUCUACCUGCAGGCACACAGCAAGGGUGCCUUCCACUUUGCCAAAAAUCAGCAACAUUUUAUGUAACAUUUCCAGAUAAAGGCUGAGCAUGCAGGGACUGAUGAACUGGUGUUUUAAGCAGCACUUAUCACAUAAUCUGCAUCCCACUUGCAGGGCAAGUUCUCCCAAGUAUCUCCGAACCCAGAAGUGCAUUGACCUGCAGGGAUUGCAACGUGUAGAACCUGACUGCUGCCAGUCUUUGACCCCUUGUACAU